ACCAGGAUGGCAGAAUGGUUAAGGUGUUGGACUUAAGAUCCAGUGGGCAAAUGCCAACGUGGGUUCAAACCCCACUCCUGGUA